ensembl:lncRNA
GCCCUGUUGCCUCCAGAAGUCACGCCUGCCGAGGCGGGGCCUGGCGUUGGCUGUCGGUGGUCGUCGUGUGUGGCGGCGACCUCCUCCCCGUCCCCUUACGCUGGGGUUUGCGCACUUCGGCAGGGCAGGACCAGCGGGGGCGGGAGGAAGAGGUGGCCGUCGCUGCUGCCUGCCGCACCCGCUGUCACCCCCAAAGAGUACUUCCAAGUGGCUCGUUGGCUGGGAGGACCGACCGGACCAAGCUGGUGCCCCGACUUUUGGGCAGGAAACGUGGUCUGGGAAAGACCCGAGGCAGAAGUGGGAGAGGAUGUGGCAGUAAUUCUGGGGAUAGCUGGCCCCGGCGUCAGGGGCAGGGUUUCUACUCGGGAAAGGAAAUCAAUCCUGAAUAUUCAUUGGAAGGACUGAUCCUGAAACUCCAAUACUUUGGCCACCUGAUGCGAAGAGACCCUAAUGCUGGGAAAGACUGAGGGCAAGAGGAGAAGGAGGUGACAGGAUGAGAUGUUUGCAUGACAUCACUGACUCAGUGAACAUGACUUUGAGCAAACUCUGGAAGAUAGUGAAGGACAGGGAAGCCUAGCUGCAGUCCAUGGGGUUGCAAAGAGCUGGACACAACUUAGGGACUGAACAACAACUUAUUUUAAAAAUGUUCAUUCAUAAAGAUUAAAAGUAUAUUACAGUGAAAUACCUGCAUGUCUUUUGCUUAGUUUCAGCAACUAACAUUUUGCUUUUUUUUUUUUUUUUAAGCAAUUCAACAACUAGUUUUUGUGUGUGUGUCCAGCUCUGCCACUCUUCACAGGCAUGGUAUUUAUUGAGUGCCUGUUGUAUGCUAGGCAGUGUUCUAAGUGCCAGAGCUACAUGAGUAGGUAAAACAAGCAACAUUCCCAAUAAGUCCCUUUUACCUGUGAGUGGGGAAAGCAGGUAGUACACAGUAUCAAUAUGUGAAUCAGAGUGUCCAGAGGUGGUGUGAGCCAUUAAAGGUCCAGGUGGGCACCACUGCUACUCACAGUGUCCCUGGCUCAUCCCCAGGUCCAGGUGGAGGCAGUUUUUUCCUGUAUUUAAAAUCCUGGGUUCUAAUUAUAUAAACACAUUUAUUAGUUAUAUGUAAUGAUGUCAGAAUAACAAUGUCAAUAUUAUUAACACUAUGAUUAUUGAAAGUAGUCUAGAUUUGUUUUGCACUUCUUCUUGCUGUUAGGAUAUAUCCCAUUUGGGGUAUGACCUUAACUCUACAGUUUGACUUGUUUGCUUUUUAAAGUUACAUUUUUAACAUUUUGAUACAAUUUUGUUUUAUGAUUAUGUAAACUUGGGAGGAAAGUCAUUACCAACCUAGACAGCAUAUUAAAAAGCAGAGACAUUACUUUGUCAACAAAGACAACAUUACUUUGUCAACAACAAAGACAUUACUUUGACAAACUUUGUCUGUCUAGUCAAGGCUAUGGUUUUUCCAGUGGUCAUGUAUGGAUGUGAGAGUUGGACUAUAAAGAAAGCUGAGCAUGGAAGAAUUGAUGCUUUUGAAGUGUGGUGUUGGAGAAGACUCUUGAGAGUCCCUUGGACUGCAAGGAGAUCCAAACAGUCCAUCCUAAGUGAGAUCAGUCCUGGGUGUUCAUUCGUAGGACUGAUGUUGAAGCUGAAACUCCAAUACUUUGGCCACCUGAUGGAAAGAGCUGACUCAUUUGAAAAGACCCUGAUACUGGGAAAGAUUGAGGGCAGGAGGAGAAGGGGACAACAGAGGAUGAGAUGGUUGGAUGGCAUCACUGACUCGAUGGACAUGGGUUUGGGUGGACUCCAGGAGUUGGUGAUGGACAGGGAGGUCUGGCGUGCUGCCAGGGGUCGCAAAGAAUCGGACACGACUGAGCGACUGAACUGAACCGAAACCCUAUAUGGUUUCAAAGUCCAGUACACGAAAGUGCAUUCAGAAGACUUGCUUCCCUCCCUGUUCCCACCAGUCUCUUACCACGCUGCCCUAUCAGUAACCAUUUAUCAAUGCUAUGGUUUCUGGCUCCAUUCCAAAAAAUCUGAACGUCAGUGAACAGUAGUUCUUUCCCACUGGCCCACAUUUUGGCAUAUUCCUGUCAGUGUCCAGCCACCUCUCCUUUGCAGCAUCUGGGCAUGUCCCUUUCUCCUUUAUGCAGCUGCCUUCACCUCCCUUGUGAAUGUGCUGUCAUGUAUUCAGCCAGUCUGCUAUUACUGGACGUCUCUUGCCAUAAAAUUAGUGCUGUAAUAAGUAGCUUUGGUUAGGUCUUUUCAGUUUUGCCAGUUUAAUUUUAGGAUAGAUUCCUAGAAAUGGGCAUUUGUAUCUGUUUUUCUGUGUGUUGCCCAGUUCCCUUCCACAGGGUUGUAGGAUCUUGUAUUUCUGCUGGUGAGCUUUCCUUACAGCCUUGUGAACAAAGAAUGUUGUCAAAUAUUUGGUAUUCUGGCAAUCUGAAAAGCAAGAAAUAGCAUCUUGGUGUAAUUUCCUUUUGCAUCUUUCUUGGAG